GAUCAUUAUUGAAUAAACAUGGUUGGGUUGU
rnacentral:rRNA from 1 species